rnacentral:tRNA from 1 species
GGUCCUGUAGUUCAGUUGGUAGAUCAUUGGACUAAUAUUUCCAGAUUGGAAGGCGUCACAGCCCCUUUCCAGAAUAUUAGCUACCCAAGGGUCCUGGGUUCGAGCCCCAGCGGGACCA